UAGUAGAUCAAAUAGCGGAGGUUGUAUUCCUUGCCUUUUUGAUUGGAUUUCACCUUUUUGGUUAGGUUCAGGGCUUGCUAGAUUUUUUUGUAAUGCAUUUGCUUUUCUACAGAACCUGGCAUUGUUUUUGCUGCAUUUUGUAAUCCAUUUUACUUAAUCAAAGUGAAGUUAAAUGGUUACCCACUACCACUGCAUAUCCAAACAUAGUAAGAAACCAGCAAAUAAACUUACUUGAGUCUUCCAGAUGUUUGUAUUGUUAGUGACAUUUGGCAGUUUACCUUACUCUAGUCCUCCACAUAUUCUUUGUUUUUGAAUGUAAGACAUGCCAGAGUUUACAGAAUCUUGUGAUUUCUAUUCGAAUUUGCUUCUGGGUACUAAUUCCGGUUUAAGGAAUAUGUUUGAUGCAGUUCAAGGUUGGAGCCAUGGCUUUUCUGACUUGCAAGAAGGGGUCUUGUUGCAGUUACUCAUUUAUCUCGAGGUUGUACUUGUGGAGCUGCCUUGAGAGAAACUGCUCAAUUGGGUUUCCUGUAACAACAGCUUUACAUAAAUAGAUUUUGCGUCAUCCGAGACCAUACUUCCUUUGAUGGUAGCCGUUGGCUUUUCCAGUUCAAGAGAACACUCAAAGAAAUUGAAGUUAAUCAGCUAGCUUCAAUGCUUGUACUCAUUGGCCACUCCUCGCCAGCUCUCUCAAACCAACAUGAUUCCUGGUCAUGGACACCAUCACCGUCUGGCAUUUUCUCUGUCAAAUCUACAUACAACUAUCUCCUGGAAACUGCCCAAAACACUGCAGCUCCUUCUUUCCCUUACAAAGCCAUCUGGAACCCACAUGUCCCAUCAAAAGUUUGCUUAUUCUAUUGGACUGCAGCUUACAACAAGAUCUCCAAGACUCUCUAUUGCAAAACUGAGCACUUGCUCUUACACUGUCAUUUCACUCGUAAGUUUUGGUCCUUAAUUCUGCCAAAUCUCAGUUCAUGGACUGCACUGCUUUCUUAUAGGCU